rnacentral:rRNA from 1 species
CGGCAGCACGGGUGCUUGCACCUGGUGGCGAGUGGCGAACGGGUGAGUAAUAUAUCGGAACGUACCUUAUCGUGGGGGAUAACGCAGCGAAAGCUGCGCUAAUACCGCAUACGCCCUGAGGGGGAAAGCGGGGGACCGUAAGGCCUCGCGCGAUUAGAGCGGCCGAUAUCUGAUUAGCUUGUUGGUGGGGUAAAAGCCCACCAAGGCGACGAUCAGUAGCUGGUCUGAGAGGACGAUCAGCCACACUGGGACUGAGACACGGCCCAGACUCCUACGGGAGGCAGCAGUGGGGAAUUUUGGACAAUGGGGGCAACCCUGAUCCAGCAAUGCCGCGUGAGUGAAGAAGGCCUUCGGGUUGUAAAGCUCUUUUGUCAGGGAAGAAACAGCAGCUCUAACACAGUCUGCGAAUGACGGUACCUGAAGAAUAAGCACCGGCUAACUACGUGCCAGCAGCCGCGGUAAUACGUAGGGUGCAAGCGUUAAUCGGAAUUACUGGGCGUAAAGCGUGCG